UGGGGAAUAUUGCACAAUGGGCGCAAGCCUGAUGCAGCCAUGCCGCGUGUAUGAAGAAGGCCUUCGGGUUGUAAAGUACUUUCAGCGGGGAGGAAGGGAGUAAAGUUAAUACCUUUGCUCAUUGACGUUACCCGCAGAAGAAGCACCGGCUAACUCCGUGCCAGCAGCCGCGGUAAUACGGAGGGUGCAAGCGUUAAUCGGAAUUACUGGGCGUAAAGCGCACGCAGGCGGUUUGUUAAGUCAGAUGUGAAAUCCCCGGGCUCAACCUAGGAACUGCAUCUGAUACUGGCAAGCUUGAGUCUCGUAGAGGGGGGUAGAAUUCCAGGUGGAGCGGUGAAAUGCGUAGAGAUCUGGAGGAAUACCGGUGGCGAAGGCGGCCCCCUGGACGAAGACUGACGCUCAGGUGCGAAAGCGUGGGGAGCAAACAGG
rnacentral:rRNA from 1 species